GUGCUCGGUUGGGCAACACAUAUAUUAAAAUUGGAAAGAUACAGAGAUUAGCAUGGCCCCUGCACAAGGAUGAAAC
rnacentral:snRNA from 1 species